rnacentral:rRNA from 1 species
AUGCUGGAGGUAUCAGAAGUGCGAAUGCUGACAUAAGUAACGAUAAAGCGGGUGAAAAGCCCGCUCGCCGGAAGACCAAGGGUUCCUGUCCAACGUUAAUCGGGGCAGGGUGAGUCGACCCCUAAGGCGAGGCCGAAAGGCGUAGUCGAUGGGAAACAGGUUAAUAUUCCUGUACUUGGUGUUACUGCGAAGGGGGGACGGAGAAGGCUAUGUUGGCCGGGCGACGGUUGUCCCGGUUUAAGCGUGUAGGCUGAUUUUCCAGGUAAAUCCGGAAAAUCAAGGCUGAGGCGUGAUGACAAGGCACUACGGUGCUGAAGCAACAAAUGCCCUGCUUCCAGGAAAAGCCUCUAAGCAUCAGGUAACAUCAAAUCGUACCCCAAACCGACACAGGUGGUCAGGUAGAGAAUACCAAGGCGCUUGAGAGAACUCGGGUGAAGGAACUAGGCAAAAUGGUGCCGUAACUUCGGGAGAAGGCACGCUGAUACGUAGGUGAAGUCCCUUGCGGAUGGAGCUGAAAUCAGUCGAAGAUACCAGCUGGCUGCAACUGUUUAUUAAAAACACAGCACUGUGCAAACACGAAAGUGGACGUAUACGGUGUGACGCCUGCCCGGUGCCGGAAGGUUAAUUGAUGGGGUUAGCGGUAACGCGAAGCUCUUGAUCGAAGCCCCGGUAAACGGCGGCCGUAACUAUAACGGUCCUAAGGUAGCGAAAUUCCUUGUCGGGUAAGUUCCGACCUGCACGAAUGGCGUAAUGAUGGCCAGGCUGUCUCCACCCGAGACUCAGUGAAAUUGAACUCGCUGUGAAGAUGCAGUGUACCCGCGGCAAGACGGAAAGACCCCGUGAACCUUUACUAUAGCUUGACACUGAACAUUGAGCCUUGAUGUGUAGGAUAGGUGGGAGGCUUUGAAGUGUGGACGCCAGUCUGCAUGGAGCCGGCCUUGAAAUACCACCCUUUAAUGUUUGAUGUUCUAACGUUGACCCGUUAUCCGGGUUGCGGACAGUGUCUGGUGGGUAGUUUGACUGGGGCGGUCUCCUCCUAAAGAGUAACGGAGGAGCACGAAGGUUGGCUAAUCCUGGUCGGACAUCAGGAGGUUAGUGCAAUGGCAUAAGCCAGCUUGACUGCGAGCGUGACGGCGCGAGCAGGUGCGAAAGCAGGUCAUAGUGAUCCGGUGGUUCUGAAUGGAAGGGCCAUCGCUCAACGGAUAAAAGGUACUCCGGGGAUAACAGGCUGAUACCGCCCAAGAGUUCAUAUCGACGGCGGUGUUUGGCACCUCGAUGUCGGCUCAUCACAUCCUGGGGCUGAAGUAGGUCCCAAGGGUAUGGCUGUUCGCCAUUUAAAGUGGUACGCGAGCUGGGUUUAGAACGUCGUGAGACAGUUCGGUCCCUAUCUGCCGUGGGCGCUGGAGAACUGAGGGGGGCUGCUCCUAGUACGAGAGGACCGGAGUGGACGCAUCACUGGUGUUCGGGUUGUCAUGCCAAUGGCACUGCCCGGUAGCUAAAUGCGGAAGAGAUAAGUGCUGAAAGCAUCUAAGCACGAAACUUGCCCCGAGAUGAGUUCUCCCUGACUCCCUGAGAGUCCUGAAGGAACGUUGAAGACGACGACGUUGAUAGGCCGGGUGUGUAAGCGCAGCGAUGCGUUGAGCUAACCGGUACUAAUGAACCGUGAGGCUUAACCUU